rnacentral:misc_RNA from 1 species
AGGAAUUCCGGUACUUCAUUGAAGAUAUUUAAAGUCACUCUCAUCUCCAGUGCCUGCGUUAUCCUCCGUUUCUCUGUCUACAAUCCUCUGGCCUGGCCAAACCCUCCAUGGAGUUCACAGCAGAUCAACUCAUCCAUUACAACGGCACUGACCCAUCAAAGCCCAUUUACAUAGCAAUCAAGGGUCGCGUUUUCGAUGUGACCGCCGGCAAGUCCUUUUACGGCCCAGGAGGCUCGUACGCCAUGUUCUCUGGCAAGGACGCUAGCAGAGCUCUGGCCAAGAUGAGCAAGGAAGAUGAAGAUGUCUCUCCUUCUCUGGACGGCCUCACUGAGAAGGAGAUGGGUGUCCUCAAUGACUGGGAGAAGAAGUUCGAAGCUAAGUAUCCAAUUGUUGGCCGUGUUGUCUCUUGAAUUUUCUUGAUUUCUAUUUGCUGUAUUCUGUUU